rnacentral:rRNA from 1 species
UACGUAGGCAGCGAGCGUUGUUCGGAGUUACUGGGCGUAAAGGGUGUGUAGGCGGUUGUUUAAGUUUGGUGUGAAAUCUCCCGGCUCAACUGGGAGGGUGCGCCGAAUACUGAAUGACUUGGAGUGCGGGAGAGGAAAGUGGAAUUCCUGGUGUAGCGGUGAAAUGCGCAGAUAUCGGGAGGAACACCCGUAGCGAAGGCGGCACUCUGGGCCGGUACUGACGCUGAGGAGCGAAAGCGUGGGGAGCGAACAGG